UACGGAGGGAGCUAGCGUUGUUCGGAAUUACUGGGCGUAAAGCGCACGUAGGCGGCUUUUUAAGUCAGGGGUGAAAUCCCGGGGCUCAACCCCGGAACUGCCCUUGAAACUGGGAAGCUAGAAUCUUGGAGAGGCGAGUGGAACUCCGAGUGUAGAGGUGAAAUUCGUAGAUAUUCGGAAGAACACCAGUGGCGAAGGCGACUCGCUGGACAAGUAUUGACGCUGAGGUGCGAAAGCGUGGGGAGCAAACAGG
rnacentral:rRNA from 1 species